CGUAGGCGGUGCUCUAAGUCAGGCGUGAAAGCCCUGGGCUCAACCCGGGAAUUGCGCUUGAUACUGGAGCGCUUGAAUCCAGGAGAGGUUGGUGGAAUUCCCAGUGUAGAGGUGAAAUUCGUAGAGAUUGGGAAGAACACCGGUGGCGAAGGCGGCCAACUGGACUGGUAUUGACGCUGAGGCGCGAAAGCGUGGGGAGCAAACAGGAUUAGAUACCCUGGUAGUCCACGCUGUAAACGAUGUGUGCUAGCCGUUGGGGCUCUUAGAGCCUCGGUGGCGUCGCUAACGCUUUAAGCACACCGCCUGGGGAGUACGGUCGCAAGAUUAAAACUCAAAGGAAUUGA
rnacentral:rRNA from 1 species